AUAUAUAUAUAUAUAUAUAUAUAUGUAUAUAUAUGUAUACAUACAUACAUACAUACACACACAUAUAUAUACAUACAUACACACACACAUAUAUAUAUAUAUAUAUAUAUA
rnacentral:miRNA from 1 species